rnacentral:rRNA from 1 species
GUGGGGAAUAUUGGACAAUGGGCGAAAGCCUGAUCCAGCCAUGUCGCGUGUGUGAAGAAGGUCUUCGGAUUGUAAAGCACUUUAAGUUGGGAGGAAGGGCAGUAAGUUAAUACCUUGCUGUUUUGACGUUACCGACAGAAUAAGCACCGGCUAACUUCGUGCCAGCAGCCGCGGUAAUACGAAGGGUGCGAGCGUUAAUCGGAAUUACUGGGCGUAAAGCGCGCGUAGGUGGUUUUGUAAGUUGGAGGUGAAAUCCCCGGGCUCAACCUGGGAACUGCCUCCAAAACUGCAUGACUAGAGUACGGUAGAGGGUAGUGGAAUUUCCUGUGUAGCGGUGAAAUGCGUAGAUAUAGGAAGGAACACCAGUGGCGAAGGCGACUACCUGGACUGAUACUGACACUGAGGUGCGAAAGCGUGGGGAGCAAACAGGAUUAGAAACCCGAGUAGUCC